GAUGAAGAAACUGAUAACUGAAGACAUUAAGAAGUAAUCCCCUGGGUCACUGAGCUUCCGUAGCUAACUUCAGUGAUCUUGUAACAGGCAUGAAAAAGGCAAAAUGCUGUACUGCCAUUUGAACGAAGCCAUCACCAAGGCCUCAUGGAAAAUGCAAAAAAUCUCCAAUGACCAGGAAGACAAACCUCACUAUGGAUACACCCCAAGAACUAGACCAGAAGAGUCCUGCUCCAGCCCCACAUAUCACAAAC